rnacentral:rRNA from 1 species
CACGUAGGGCGCAAGCGUUGUCCGGAUUUAUUGGGCGUAAAGAGCGUGUAGGCGGUCAGGUAGGUCCGUUGUGAAACUCGAGGCUCAACCUCGAGACGCCGAUGGAAACCAUCUGACUAGAGUCCGGAAGAGGAGAGUGGGAAUUCCCGGUGAUCGAGCGGUGAAAUGCGCAGAUAUCGGGAGGAACACCGGUGGCGAAGGCGGUUCUCUGGGCCUUACCUGACGCUGAGGAGCGAAAGCGUGGGGAGCGAACAGG